rnacentral:rRNA from 1 species
CCUACGGGUGACAGCAGUCGAGAAUCAUUCACAAUGGGGGAAACCCUGAUGGUGCGACGCCGCGUGGGGGAAUGAAGGUCUUCGGAUUGUAAACCCCUGUCAUGUGGGAGCAAAUUAAAAAGAUAGUACAAGAAGAGGAAGAGGCUGCUAACUCUGUUCCAGCAGCCGCGGUAAUACAGAGGUCUCAAGCGUUGUUCGGAAUCACUGGGCGGAAGGCGUGCGUAGGCUGUUUCGUAAGUCGUGUGUGAAAGGCGCGGGCUCAACCCGCGGACGGCACAUGAUACUGCGAGACUCGAGUAAUGGAGGGGGAACCGGAAUUCUCGGUGUAGCAGUGAAAGGCGUAGAUAUCGAGAGGAACACGAGUGGCGAAGGCGGGUUCCUGGACAUUAACUGACGCUGAGGCACGAAGGCCAGGGGAGCGAAAGGGAUUAGAUACCCGAGUAGUC